UACUUUUGUUGAUUAAAUUAAUAAAAAAAACGGCAUUUGAACACUUGUAAUAUAUAGAAAAUAAUGGCAUAUUCGAUUUUUAGUGAUCACGUCCGGAAAGAAAUACAACGUAAUUCGGACGUUGUGUAUUUUCGGAUGUCAAUGGGAAAUGAAUGCCGUAUUUGACUUCACCUUCGCUUAUUAGUCUAAAAUAAUAGACGUGUUAUACGGGAUUCUUCCAAUCCCUAACGUCUAAACGGGAAUGUGCAAAAAACGGGGGUGUUUUAAAAAUAUUGAAAUUGUUUUAAGUGAAGUAUUUUAUGGUUGAAAUUGAUCAUAAAGAGUUAUAUUCAUAUUUUACCAUGUAAGUGAAAUGUUAUUUUGCACUAAACAAGCAUUUAAUGCAUUAAAACAAGUUGUUUACCUUUCCAAUAAAACGAAAGUUGACUGACACAAAAACAUUUAUGCGAAGGGGAACAACUCGAUACAAUCGUAAUAACUCGGCCUCCUCCGACAAAGCUUCGAGAUAGACCUCGUUAUACAAUCGUAACAACUCGGCCAUGGCCGAAAUGUUCCGAGCGAUUUAAAACUGUGCCCUGAAGCCUUGCAGGUGGCCUUCAUGUAUAUAUCGUUAUGUUUUGACAGAAUGAAAUGAAAAAAAGCCGUCAAACUCAUAAUUAUAAGUUGGAUAUUUAUUUUUUUGUGUACGGAACUAAUAUAAAAUAACAUUAUCUGAUUUCACAAGUUUCCUGUUCUGAUGUUGGAGGCGUUUCCUGCUCACUGACAUACAUUAGGUCAAAAAUGGCGGUGCCCAAUGGCCACUUUAAGACCAAAAGGUCGACCUAGGGACCAAAUCGCUGGAAUGGGAUAGUUUUGAUAGCUCAUCUGGCCAAAACUGUAGUCCAAAUACCAGUUUACGUGUGCCAAGUUCAGAGAGCUCAGUCAGUGAGGCUAUGACCAUUCCGAUCCAGGAUAAAAUGUAAGAUGACCUUUGCAACUGAUGUGGCUGAGCAGGCACAAAGCCACAGAUUCAAUCUAUCUUACAAUGUAAAAAUUGUUGUCAAUAAAAAGCCUUAAUCCUU